rnacentral:rRNA from 1 species
AGCAGCCGCGGUAAUUCCAGCUCCAAUAGCGUAUAUUAAAGUUGUUGCCGUUAAAAAGCUCGUAGUUGAACCUUGGACCUGGCUGAUCUGUCCUCCUAAUCGAGCGCACGGAUUCGGUCGGGUCUUUCCUUCUGGGGAGCCCUAUGCCCUUCACUGGGUGUAGUGGGGAACCAGGACUUUUACCUUGAAAAAAUUAGAGUGUUCAAAGCAGGCCUUUGCUCGAAUACAUUAGCAUGGAAUAAUAGAAUAGGACAUCGGUUCUAUUUUGUUGGUUUCUAGGACCGCUGUAAUGAUUAAUAGGGAUAGUCGGGGGCGUCAGUAUUCAAUUGUCAGAGGUGAAAUUCUUGGAUUUAUUGAAGACUAACUACUGCGAAAGCAUUCGCCAAGGAUGUUUUCAUUAAUCAGUGAACGAAAGUUAGGGGAUCGAAGACGAUCAGAUACCGUCGUAGUCUUAACCAUAAACUAUGCCGACUAGGGAUCGGACGGUGGUUUUUUUAUACCCCG